CACGAGACCGGAACCGGAAGUGCUUGAAGGAGCCCCCCCAGCCCAUGUCGGACCGGUCGCUGCUCUCGGCCCCCCUGGAGGCCCCCGGCCGGGCCGGAUGCGGCGCUGCGGAGGCUCCUGCUGCAGGCAACGGAGGAGGAGGAGGAGCCCCCCCCACCCGGCCUCUCCCGUGCUGUCACCCCCAAGCC